CUGGUCCCGCAGUGAAGCCCUCCGUGUCUCUGCUGCCUCCCUCUUCUCUGCAGAUCUCUGGAGACUCAGCCGCACUGCUCUGCCUGCUCAGCUCUUAUUCUCCACAGGGGGCGCAGGUGAGCUGGAUGCUGGACGGGUCAGAGGUCACCGAGGGGGUUCAGACCAGCGCAGAGAGCGAGCGGGACGGACGCUACAGCCGCAGCAGCGUCCUGAGCCUCAGCAAAGCACGCUGGGAAGACGGCGAGCGCUUCGUCUGCAGAGUAACACAUGACGGAGCUGAUCACGAGACCUCGUUCCUCAAGAGCUCCGAGUGCUGAUGUUUCUCCAGUGAAGAGCAGCAGGAUUCACAGCAGUCACCUGAUUUACAGCUCAAUACUCAAGCAGUCUUUCAAUGUGCUGCCAUUGCUGUUCAUUCAAUAAAGCUUCUGAACGCCUUACAUUUGUGUUCGACUGCA